CCUACGGGAGGCAGCAGUGGGGAAUAUUGCACAAUGGGGGAAACCCUGAUGCAGCGACGCCGCGUGAGUGAAGAAGUCUUUCGGUACGUAAAGCUCUAUCCGCAGGGAAGAAAAUGACGGUACCUGACUAAGAAGCCCCGGCUAACUACGUGCCAGCCGCCGCGGUAAUACGUAGGGGGCAAGCGUUAUCCGGAUUUACUGGGUGUAAAGGGAGCGUAGACGGCAGCGAAAGUCUGGAGUGAAAUCCCAUGGCUUAACCAUGGAACUGCUUUGGAAACUGUGCAGCUAGAGUGCAGGAGAGGUAAGCGGAAUUCCUAGUGUAGCGGUGAAAUGCGUAGAUAUUAGGAGGAACACCAGUGGCGAAGGCGGCUUACUGGACUGUAACUGACGUUGAGGCGCGAAAGCGUGGGGAGCAAACAGGAUUAGAUACCCCAGUAGUC
rnacentral:rRNA from 1 species